AAGUGACAGAUGGGCAGGUAGCAUAUACAGCGUGGAUCCACUGGACACAGAGAUGAUUCACAUCUGGGCAGGAUGGAACAGGAUGGCACGAAAUUUCAUCAUGCUAGUCAGAAUGGUACCUGCAUAUUUGACUGUUUGGAUCCCAAUUGUUUCUUUCCUGAGUUUCAAACAGAAGACUGCUACGUCACAUCACAUACAGAGACCCAAAAAAUCAGUGGGUUUGGACUUCUCUUCUGGAUUUGGAACAUAUAUAGGGUGAAGAAGCUGAGAGAACUCUAAACAGGAUAAUCCAAAGAAAUCCAUACCAAGACACACCAUAAUUAAAAUUCUGAAAAUGAAAGACAAAGAAAAAAAUCUAGAAAGAAAUCGGAGAAAACGGACACCUUACCUAUAAGGAAAAACAAUUUGAAUGACAGCUGAUUUCUCUUCAAGUAGUACUUAUAUAUCUCCAUUUUAUAGGAGAAUAAACUGAGGCACUAAAACGUACAGUAACCUUCUCAUGGUCACGCAGCUGGAAAGUGGAGAAGCCAGGUUGUCUGAUUCCAGGGUUUGUGUUCUUACCCUAUACUUAAUGAAGCCAUGAUUAAGCAAUCACUAUAUUAAAGACUGGCAUACAUUCAAG
rnacentral:lncRNA from 1 species